rnacentral:rRNA from 1 species
CAGUCGCCGCGGUAAUACAGAGGGUGCAAGCGUUAAUCGGAUUUACUGGGCGUAAAGGGCGCGUAGGUGGUUAUGUAAGUGAGAUGUGAAAUCCCCGGGCUCAACCUGGGAACUGCAUCUUAUACUGCGUAGCUGGAGUGCAGUAGAGGGUAGUGGAAUUUCCGGUGUAGCGGUGAAAUGCGUAGAUAUCGGAAGGAACACCAGUGGCGAAGGCGGCUACCUGGACUGACACUGACACUGAGGCGCGAAAGCGUGGGGAGCAAACAGGAUUAGAUACCCCGGUAGUCCCUGUCUCUUAUAC